GAGUUUUAAACUCUUGGAGGUGGCAGGACUGCGAGAACUGGAGCCUUCUUAAGUCCUAACCUGAGCAGCCUUAGUUGGUGCCUGGCAUGGCCCCUGGCUGCACCUCCUUUUGAGUUUGAUUAACCCAUUUUCCAUGCUCUUCGAGAAAGCAAAGGGAACCUACAGCUAUUCCCUGCCCCAAUAAACAAGGGACGAAGACAAAUAAAAAAAUGGAAAAAGCAUAAGCAGGUAUCUGCAAGUUCCCAAUUAUCUGAGUGGCCACGGAUGGUGCUGUGUGAAGUUAUAUCAACUCCACCUGCAGGGUGGCUUAUAAGAUUCAAGAUUGUGUCUGCUAUCUGCAAGCAUGCAUUCAUUGCUGGCAUCUCCUGUGCCCCAUGGUCUAGAAAGUGAUUCUCUAUGUAGGGGGACACUCUAGGAUAAGAGAACACCCAGCCUGAAUGCUUCUUAAAGGGCCCAUUCCUAGACCAUCAGAGUCCAGUGGAGAUGAAGGAGCCUCCUCAUGAUGGUUCCCCUCAAUGCACAUCGUGGGGGAAGGAGAUCUCUUUCACUGCUAUGCAAAAUUUAUGCUCAUCCUCAGGUGUUGAGAUUCCCACUCCUCCGUUGACCAUUCCAGACUGCAUCAUGUAGCUCUGUUUAAGGGCUUUAAAAUUACAAAGAGGCACAUUUCUAAAGUAACUUUUUUGUAAUAUGAACAGAUUUCUUUUAAUAUUAAACUCCUGGGGCCUUACUUGCCCCUGCAAGCAAGAUCCAAGUAACUCCCAUUGAAGUUGGCACAGAAUAAGGAUGCUGAAUUUCCCAGGGGUAUUGCUUGGCGCCAGCACUGAUUUCUCUGUUAAAUGGAGUGACUCCUAGUUUUAAGUUUUACCUUUUAUGUGACGACAAUUCAAAUAAUUUGUAGAGUCUCAGACAGGGAUUUAAUUUCAAAUGAUUUUCUCUGUUGGCUGUAAUGCUGUAUUGAUCCUGCAGUAAAGUGCAGCUGUUGUUUAGCUGCCUCUGCUUGCCCAGCACAGAUUUACAGUCUCUCCUACUUCUUCUCCCUCUUGUCCUCCUUAGUAGGCACACUUGGAAAUCUUGGGUGACGGUGGAAUAAUGCUCCCUUUUGGGUCACCAAUUCAAACCCAGCCCCAAAGUUCUGGGCUGUUCUGGUAAUCUGUAUAUAUGGGAUCUUGUGUUCACAUCACAAAAAUGGCCAUCCUUUUUUGGCAAUGUCAGCUAUGCAGGUCAAGAUGGAGGCAGCCUGUUGAAAAAUUUGCAGUGCCAUUUCCUGUGCUCUACCUGUUCUGUAGCUAGUUGGGGACCCAAAUUCUUUGCUAGUGUAACCCCAUUGACUUAUAUGGAAUUACACCACGAAGAAUUUGGCCUUCAGCCCCGCAGGUGUCAGUCUGACACCUCAAAUGAUUUUUUUUUUUAAAGUUAUGGAAGAGGUUUUUUUUGUUUGUUUUAUGCUAGUUAGAUCACUAAUCACUUCUGAAUGAAAGGGAUUGAGUUUAGGUGGCUAGAAUAGUCUGAACAGCUUUGGCUUUCCGUGUGAUGCCAUGGAAUGCAUCUGUUAAAAGCAACACCACCACCCACAGCACACCACAACAAACAACCUGAAGUACCUUCCAUUUCUAAAAAAGGUCCACAUGUAAAAGACUAAAACAAACCUAAAACCAGCCUGGCCUUUAUCCUGGUGCUGUGGAUGAUGUAUUUGAUCACCCUCUUACCCAUUUUGUUUGAAAGAAAAAUGUGCUACUUUGCUGUUCCCUUUAAAUUCAGAUGUUUUGUUGACCAAUCUUAUUUUUAUAGCAGCUCUCCAUGACUUUAUUGCCUGGAAAAACACAGCAAUAGCACAAAGAUUGUAGAAUAUUUCAGGAGUAGCUUAAUACCAGCUGACCCUCUUACAUACAGUACGAAGUUUACUUAUAUAUACUAUAUCUUUCUAUCUCACAAGAUUACACAAGAUACAAUAACCCCUUUUUACAGGGGACUGAGAUCAGUUCCUUCUAAAAUCCAAUGUUUAGUUAUUACCAGUGAUCAUUAUUCAUGUCCUAUAGAACUCUAUACAUGAGUUCACUGGAGUUUCACCACUGCUAAGAGAUCCGAACCAGGUCCUUCACAAUUUGGAGUAGCUCAAGGAUAUCUUGCAUUUUAAGAUGCAUGUACCAUAACGGGGUCAUGUGGGCUAUUAGAGCAGAGGACUGGGGAAAACAGGAUCCUGGUGCUGUGAUUGGGACAAGUCCCUUGUCUUCCUUGUGUGCUUAAUGUAGCCCAUUAAAGCUUGUGUAGCCCAUAGAAAUUGGAGCUGGGCAAAAUCUACAGGCUUAGACCAAUGAGUUGGUGAAGUCAGUGAGAUUUCUCCUGUGUAGGGCUGCACAUUUGUCACAGCAUUCUUUUUUGGGGGUGGGGGGAGGACAGGGGGGUUGCGCAAAAUUCACAAAGUGGUCUCAAUAAAUUUACUAAGUCACUGGUUUAGGGGCCAAUGGUGUGUAAAGUCAUGGGAACACUAUUUAAAAUGGGGGGAGGGUCCUGAAGUAGUUGGGUCCUGCCCUUGAAGGGUUGGAGGCCUGGGAGUUGGGGAGGGUAGCUGGAGAGCCUGCCCUGAACUUAGCCCGCAGGCGUGGCAGCAGCUCCUGCCCAUGGGGCUGGGACUGGCACCAGGUUCCAAUGCCACUCACUCAAAUUUGGCUUGGCCCCACACAUCCCCUUCCCUCCCAGUCAUGACACGGCAACAGCCAGGCCAAAUCUGAGCUGCACUGUGACCCUAUGUGCCAGGUUGCAAAUGCCUGGAGCAGGUAACUGGGCCCAGAGCUGCUGGGAGAGCAACUGCAGGAACAGUCACCUUGGGUUGAGU